UCCCACAUUGCUAAAGAAAGAUUAAAACAAUGCAUUUAUAUAAGCGAAAGAAACUAAGUGUCCCUUCGGGGACAUCCGAUAAAAUUGGAACGAUACAGAGAAGAUUAGCAUGGCCCCUGCGCAAGGAUGACACGCACAAAUCGAGAAAUGUGCUAAGUUUCUGAUAUAUUGGCCAGAAUUGAAGGAAGACGGUCCAAUUUUGGUUUUGAUCCUUCCACUACUAUCUUAAAAUUUAAAAGAAAUUCAAUUGAACAAUUUCUUCCAAUAAAAUUAAACAAGAAAGCCCAGAGAUUGACCUGCAUACUUAGACAUGUUUCUCUUUGAAAAAAAAUUCAAACGGGGUGCUUUUUCAACAAUUCGGAGUUUGGAGUUGCGCGUGAUAGAGACUCCGGUAUUCAACAAUCUACUACGCGCAAUGGGAACUCUGUAACUAGCAAGAUGAACAGGCUUUUGAAUGAGGCUAACAAGAUCAUGGAUCAAAUGGAGUUCUUAACAGCACAAAACAAGAAGCUGCUUGCCACCGAUGCAGCUCAGUCGAAAUAUUUAGAGUCACGAGCGGAAAAUGCAGAGCAGAAGGUCAAGGAUGCUUAAAAGAAAAUAGUUGAGCUCGAGAGGUAGCUCAAGGCUAAGGCAGAGGAAGCUGCACAAGUGAGCAAUAAGCUUGAGGAGGUUGGUAACUCAUUGAUGGACCAGGUGAUAAAAAUUCAGAAAACACUAGGACCCUUUGACUCAACAGGCAUCAACUUUGAUAGAGCGAAGAUAUCUAAGGAAGAGGAACUUCAAAAUAGGAUAAUUCAGCUGGAGAGAGAAUUAUCUCGAAAACAAGCAUUGGACUCGGGAAGUUGAGCGUCUAAGCAGAUCAUUGGAUGUAAUUGGCAAAAUGGAAGAUGGAGAUUAUGUAAAUGUUCUAAGGAAGCUGGAGGAAUACCUUAAGGAUGUAGAGACAUUGAAUCGAUCUCUUAUUGCAAGAGAAUAUUGGAUCAACGAUCAGGUGCAGGAAGUUUGAGAAAGAUUGAUCACUAAUGGGAGAACUUAAUCCAGAACCUUUUUUAGACGAAUGCAAGAAGAAAUUUGCUGUUGACGACUGGUGUUUGAAGUCCGAGCAAUUAUUCUCGUUGUGGCAACAACAUAUCAGAAAUCCACUGUGGCAUCCUUUCAAGAGCAUUCGUACAUCAUAUUUUGAUUAUCUUUUUUUGUACUUUAUAUAUGAAAGUCUGCACAUUAUACACUACUCAUCUUGUGGUAAUGAUAUUCAAAUGAGAAAUUGUUCUUCAUUAAA